AUUGAACGCUGGAGGCAGGCCUAACACAUGCAAGUCGAACGAGUAGCGGACGGGUGAGUAAUGUCUGGGAAACUGCCCGAUGGAGGGGGAUAACUACUGGAAACGGUAGCUACUACCGCAUACCAUCGGAUGUGCCCAGAUGGGAUUAGCUAGUAGGUGGGGUAACGGCUCACCUAGGCGACGAUCACUAACUGGUCUGAGAGGAUGACAAGCAACACUGGAACUGAGAAACGGUCCAGACUCCUACGGGAGGCAGCAGGGGGGAAUAUUGCACAAUGGGCGCAAGCCUGAUGCAGCCAUACCGCGUGUAUGAAGAAGGCCUUCGGGUUGUAAAGUACUUUCAGCAAGGAGGCGUUACUCGCAGAAGAAGUACCGGCUAACUCCGUGCCAGCAGCCGCAGUAAUAC
rnacentral:rRNA from 1 species